CCUGAUGCAGCGACGCAGCGUGCGGGAUGACGGCCUUCGGGUUGUAAACCGCUUUCAGCAGGGAAGAAGCCUUAGGGUGACGGUACCUGCAGAAAAAGUACCGGCUAACUACGUGCCAGCAGCCGCGGUAAUACGUAGGGUACGAGCGUUGUCCGGAAUUAUUGGGCGUAAAGAGCUCGUAGGUGGUUGGUCACGUCUGCUGGGGAAACGCAACGCUUAACGUUGCGCGUGCAGUGGGUACGGGCUGACUAGAGUGCAGUAGGGGAGUCUGGAAUUCCUGGUGUAGCGGUGAAAUGCGCAGAUAUCAGGAGGAACACCGGUGGCGAAGGCGGGACUCUGGGCUGUAACUGACACUGAGGAGCGAAAGCAUGGGGAGCGAACAGGAUUAGAUACCCUGGUAGUCCAUGCCGUAAACGUUGGGCACUAGGUGGGGGGGGCAUUCCACGUUCUCCGCCCCGUAGCUAACGCAUUAAGUGCCCCGCCUGGGGAGUACGGUCGCAAGGCUAAAACUCAAAGGAAUUGACGGGGGCCCGCACAAGCGGCGGAGCAUGCGUAUUAAUUCGAUGCAACGCGAAAAACCUUACCAAGGCUUGACAU
rnacentral:rRNA from 1 species